UUUAAGUACACUUAUGAGUUUUUAUGUCUAACGUUUGAUUGUCUGUCUUAUUUGAAUUUUUUUAUAAUUGAUAUUUUUAUUGUUAUUAGAUGAUAAAACAUGAAAAGUACAUUAGGCGUGACUGUUUUUAAAAGUUUUUUUCCAUAAAGUUUUCAAAUAAAACGGAUGGUCAAACGUUGAACACGAAAACCCGCGAUUGCACUUAAA
rfam:Oryza barthii chromosome 11, whole genome shotgun sequence.